GACGGAAGGUGCAAGCGUUGCUCGGAAUCACUGGGCGUAAAGGGUGCGUAGGCGGCUUGGUAAGUUGGGUGUGAAAGCCCCGGGCUCAGCCCGGGAAGGGCACUCGAAACUGCCGAGCUGGAGUGCCGGAGGGGAGAGUGGAAUUCCUGGUGUAGCGGUGAAAUGCGUAGAUAUCAGGAGGAAUACCGGUGGCGAAAGCGACUCUCUGAACGGCAACUGACGCUGAGGCACGAAAGCGUGGGGAGCAAACAGG
rnacentral:rRNA from 1 species